AAGGGAACUGGAAAAGAACACAGAGAGAAGGCCUGUUUGUUAUGUCUGUUCCUUGGUCUAAAAAGAAAGAUUCCGCUGUUAUCUGUCCAUUAAUGAGGAAGGGAAUGGGGUGUGACACGGUGUGUAUUGAGUAUCCAUCCCCGUACCAGUCAGCCGUGGCUAGUUUAAUACUGUUCACCAGAGACUUUGGGUUCUCAGUCUGUGAGACUGUGCUUCCUCCCUCCAAUGGCGAAGAGCACUGUGAUAUACAGGCCACUGAGUUAUGAUGGAUGUGAUCUAUUUCAAUCCGAUGCAGAGCCUUGCAUUGGUAACUUUGGACUGCUCAGAGCACCCUCUCCCUCCAGGGCAGGGACUGCAGUACUGGUGGCAGCCUGGCAUGUAAGCCUGAGUUCUGGGGGACUGUGGAGCAGAGCCCAAACCUGGUCUUGCUGCAUGUCAAUCACACAGCACCUGGAAUAUGAAGUCACACUUCAUGGUUAUAGGCCAUUGAGAUUUAGGGGUCACUUGUAACUGCAGCACAGACUAAUUUUGUGCUGACUAGUGCAGUGUUUUAUAUAACAUAGUGAGGUUUCGAAUUUAGAAAGACUGAGGUAGAAUCUUAACACUUGCUGACUGUGAACAAAUUUAUUAACUCCUCAGAAUGCAGGCAAACCCAGUUUCUUGGCCCGUAAGAUGGCAGCUCUGACUCCUUGCUCACAAUGUUAGUAUUUAUGAAACAUCUGACACAGGAUUGGUAUAUGAAUGCCUGAUUUUGAUGAUUUCAAGUCGUGUGCCCUAGGAAUAGAGGGUGGGAGAUGGGGAGAGGAGAGGAGAGAGAGACUAGGAGUGUGAUAAAGGGUAAUUCGUUAUUGGUGUUUCAAAAGGCACCAGAUAGUGUGGAGAACACUGACCAGGGACCCCAGGGGUAAGAGAGCAUGUGAAGUCAUCUAUGUCCCCUACCUCAAGCUCACAGAAACUCUAAAAGAUAGGACAGGCUCUGAGGUUGUGGUUUACAGUUUCGCUCUUCUAUAACCAGAGGAAAAGUUGGGUCUACCUCCAGGAAUAAAGGAAGAGAUAACAAGACAGAAGAGAUUCCUUCCUCCCAUCUGCAGCACGUCCUUCCAUCCUUCCAACCAAGCCGUGGGGCCAGCAGGGAAGGGACGGAGCGAAUAGCCCAAGCCUUGCAGAGAGGAACUGAUGCCUGGAUUACACCGUACUACGCCUAUUGCUGGAUGGCUGCUGGAAUUGAGGCAAAGGCUACAAGAAAGUCAGGCCAAGAACCCAGAAGAAAGCAAAGCCUACUCCAGAGAUUUUGGAAGAGGGUCCUUAGACAUCAGAGAUCAAGGUUGGAGAGAAACGGUAGAUAGGGACUUCUGGAAAAUAUAACCAGAUUUGACACACCCUCAGAAAGACUGAGAGUCAAUGAGCUCUACCUGGCUAAAGAAAAUGCGCCAUAGCAACCGGAGUUGAAGAUACCACAUAUGCCCAUGUUUGUAUCUCCUUCAGUCUACCCUGUACUGAACUGAUAUUGAGUUUGAGAUUCUUUGUUCUUAGUUGCUUUAAUAAAAAUCUCUGUUUACAUUUA